AUUGAACGCUGGCGGCAUGCCUUACACAUGCAAGUCGAACGGCAGCAUGGAAGAGCUUGCUCUUCUGAUGGCGAGUGGCGAACGGGUGAGUAAAGCAUCGGAACGUACCGUGUAGUGGGGGAUAACGUAGCGAAAGUUACGCUAAUACCGCAUACGCACUGAGGUGGAAAGCAGGGGAUCGCAAGACCUUGCGCUAUACGAGCGGCCGAUGUCAGAUUAGCUAGUUGGUAGGGUAAAGGCCUACCAAGGCGACGAUCUGUAGCGGGUCUGAGAGGAUGAUCCGCCACACUGGGACUGAGACACGGCCCAGACUCCUACGGGAGGCAGCAGUGGGGAAUUUUGGACAAUGGGCGAAAGCCUGAUCCAGCCAUGCCGCGUGAGUGAAGAAGGCCUCGGGUU
rnacentral:rRNA from 1 species